UGUGGUGAUCUUCCUCUUUGUAGG
rnacentral:piRNA from 1 species